UGGACCAAUCGCCAGGUUGUCCCACACUAUAUAAACAACCGACAGCGCAUUUUCAAUCUCUUCAAUUCAAACUAAGUAGCAGCAAUGGUCCAUUAUCUUCUGAACAAACCCUAGACGUGGAUGAUGAACAAAUGGUUAUGCCGAAGGAUUACCAUGUCAGUCUGCAGGGGCUUCAUAGGCCUGGAUGAGAAUGAAGUAGUGGACAUUCUGAUGGGAGGUAAUUCAGGUGUACAACCUCUGCAUAGACCAGUGGGAUUGAGAAUGAACCACGGGACAUUCUAAGGUUAUUGUGCGUAUUGGAGGUGUGGCCAUUCAACGUGGGAUUGAAUGGCUGGUAUGGAGGUACAGGUGUGCCUCAACACUGCUUGGACAUGCACCAAUCCGGGUUGAUGGGUAUGGCUGUCACUAGUUCUUGCAACUGGCUCUGGGUGACGUGACCGGCACUGACCAACUACACUUCCAUGGUUAUAUGGCCCUAUUCAAGGGUUUUAAGGUCUUGGUACACCAACCAAGUUGGAUGAGGCCCCAUCUGUACACCAAGGUGUUUCCCUGGCUUGUCACUUAUUGCUUAUCGGUUGCAUCGGGACAUUGUUAGGAGACUUGUUCAGAAUGUGUGAAAUCGUUGGUUGACUAACUGUUCAAUUGUGUGGGACUUUGUCUCAAACCUGCAACCAACCUGUCCUGCAUUUCAUCAAUAAAUAUAACAAUCACCCUAAGUCAACUAAUUAGAUUCCAGCUUAAUUUAGACCUGGACGUCUGACAAAUUACACAAAUGCCAUAUAAUGCUAAAAUAUCUAUGGUAGCUUUGUGAAACUUGAAGGUGGCAUGCAUGUUUUUGGCCUGCCAAAACUGGGGGACUCCUUGAAGUUGAACUUAACAGGUACAUUCUGUCCUUCAGGGCAGAGCCCCAUGUUUGUGAAAUAAUUUGCCAUUAAUCUCUUUUCAAACAAUGUAAAUAAAGCUACAACCAUGGUCUUUG